CAGAAUUCUUUGAUGAAUAAAAAUUGACAAAGAACAGCAUUUAUUCAAAAUAGACAACAUAAAAAAACAUUUGAAUGGUAGUGUAUAUUACAAAGAUUUCAUUAUUUGUAGAUAAAUGCUGUUUUUUUUUUUUUUUUUUUUUACUUUUUAUUCUUGAGCACAGGAGAAGUGAGUAGAGAGGGAGGAGUUUAUCUGAGAGACUCGCAUCAUGCAACGGGGCACAGUGUGUUUGCUGGGUUUCUGCAGAGAUCUGAGGAGUCAUACUCAAGAGAGGGAUGCUCGGGCUGACCAUGGGUUUUACUGUCCACUGGAGGCUCUGCUGCUGCUUUUAGGGUCAUAUAUUUCAUUUAGACAGUCUUCUAACAUCGAUAAGUGUGACAGGGUGAUGAAGAACGCCUUUCUAGUCCUGAGCUGGAGCAGGCACAUGCAGCAGGCUCCUUCAGAUCUCCUCAGGGCUGCAUGAGGUUCUCCGCGAGAGUGAAGGAGGGAUGCUGGACCUCUGGCCUUUUGUGUUUGGUCACUGCUUGCUCUCGUUUUGUCUCCUCUUGUGUCAGGCGGAGCUCCAGAGGUCUUGCUCUCAGCACGGCAAACACAGAGGAGCAGAGUGGUGCCAGCUGCUGUGCCCCUGCAGUACAUACCCUCCUGUACCUCCUCCUCCACCUCCUCCUCCUCCACCACGAGGACUGACCGCUGCGGCUCCGGAGGCUUCCGCUCCUCUGCCGAGGCCCUGGUGGAUGGAGAUCAUCAUGGUUGGGACAAUAGGAAUUGCUUUGGCUGUCUUUCUGUUGCUGAUUGUCAUUAUCUGCUACAAGACCAUAAAAAGGUAGGUAGCGCUAUCACAGAGUUUUCACUUUUGGUGCUAAAUAAUGUUGUGAGAUUUGGUUUAUGUCACUUGUGCAUAUGAAUGUCAUAUGACUCCUUUCUCCUUUUAUUUUGAAGCACUAGCUAAGGAAUUUUACCUUAACAGUAAAGAACAAUCAAGGAAGAUUUUUGUUGUUAUGCAAGAGGUUAUGCAAAUUGGAGGGAGUUUGUC
ensembl:lncRNA